GACGAACGCUGGCGGCGUGCUUAACACAUGCAAGUCGAACGGAAAGGCCCUGCUUUUGUGGGGUGCGCGAGUGGCGAACGGGUGAGUAACACGUGAGUAACCUGCCCUUGCCUUUGGGAUAACUUCAGGAAACUGGGGCUAAUACCGGAUAGGAGCUCCUGCUGCAUGGUGGGGGUUGGAUAGUUUCGGCGGUUGGGGAUGGACUCGCGGCUUAUCAGCUUGUUGGUGGGGUAGUGGCUUACCAAGGCUUUGACGGGUAGCCGGCCUGAGAGGGUGACCUGCCACAUUGGGACUGAGAUACGGCCCAGACUCCUACGGGAGGCAGCAGUGGGGAAUAUUGCACAAUGGGCGGAAGCCUGAUGCAACAACGCCGCGUGCGGGAUGUCGGCCUUCGUUUUGUAAACCGCUUUCGCCUUUGACGAAGCGUGAGUGACGGUAAUAGGUAAAGAAGCACCGGCUAACUACGUG
rnacentral:rRNA from 1 species